UACGUAGGGCGCAAGCGUUGUCCGGAAUUAUUGGGCGUAAAGAGCUCGUAGGCGGCCUGUUGCGUCCGCUGUGAAAUCCCGGGGCUCAACCCCGGGCCUGCAGUGGAUACGGGCUGGCUAGAGGCAGGCAGGGGAGAACGGAAUUCCUGGUGUAGCGGUGGAAUGCGCAGAUAUCAGGAGGAACACCGAUGGCGAAGGCAGAUCUCUGGGCCGUAACUGACGCUGAGGAGCGAAAGCAUGGGGAGCGAACAGG
rnacentral:rRNA from 1 species